rnacentral:rRNA from 1 species
GACGAACGCUGGCGGCGUGCUUAACACAUGCAAGUCGAACGGAAAGGCCCUGCUUUUGUGGGGUGCUCGAGUGGCGAACGGGUGAGUAACACGUGAGUAACCUGCCCUUGACUUUGGGAUAACUUCAGGAAACUGGGGCUAAUACCGGAUAGGAGCUCCUGCUGCAUGGUGGGGGUUGGAAAGUUUCGGCGGUUGGGGAUGGACUCGCGGCUUAUCGGCUUGUUGGUGGGGUAGUGGCUUACCAAGGCUUUGACGGGUAGCCGGCCUGAGAGGGUGACCGGCCACAUUGGGACUGAGAUACGGACCAGACUCCUACGGGAGGCAGCAGUGGGGAAUAUUGCACAAUGGGCGGAAGCCUGAUGCAGCAACGCCGCGUGCGGGAUGACGGCCUUCGGGUUGUAAACCGCUUUCGCCUGUGACGAAGCGUGAGUGACGGUAAUGGGUAAAGAAGCACCGGCUAACUACGUG